UACGUAGGGUGCGAGCGUUGUCCGGAAUUAUUGGGCGUAAAGAGCUUGUAGGCGGUUUGUCGCGUCUGCCGUGAAAAUCCGGGGCUCAACCUCGGACUUGCGGUGGGUACGGGCAGACUAGAGUGUGGUAGGGGAGACUGGAAUUCCUGGUGUAGCGGUGAAAUGCGCAGAUAUCAGGAGGAACACCGAUGGCGAAGGCAGGUCUCUGGGCCACUACUGACGCUGAGGCGCGAAAGCGUGGGGAGCGAACAGG
rnacentral:rRNA from 1 species